GUACACUCCUGCGGGAGGCAGCAGUGGGGAAUUUUGAACAAUGGGCGAAAGCCUGAUCCAGCAAUGCCGCGUGAGUGAAGAAGGCCUUCGGGUUGUAAAGCUCUUUUGUCAGGGAAGAAACGGUGAAAGCUAAUAUCUUUUGCUAAUGACGGUACCUGAAGAAUAAGCACCGGCUAACUACGUGCCAGCAGCCGCGGUAAUACGUAGGGUGCAAGCGUUAAUCGGAAUUACUGGGCGUAAAGCGUGCGCAGGCGGUUUUGUAAGUCUGAUGUGAAAUCCCCGGGCUCAACCUGGGAAUUGCAUUGGAGACUGCAAGGCUAGAAUCUGGCAGAGGGGGGUAGAAUUCCACGUGUAGCAGUGAAAUGCGUAGAUAUGUGGAGGAACACCGAUGGCGAAGGCAGCCCCCUGGGUCAAGAUUGACGCUCAUGCACGAAAGCGUGGGGAGCAAACAGGAUUAGAAACCCUAGUAGUCCCAUGAU
rnacentral:rRNA from 1 species